rnacentral:rRNA from 1 species
CGAGGUGGAAGCGUGGUGACACGUGGAGCUGACGAAUACUAAUCGAUCGAAGACUUAAUCAAUUU